GAUGAACGCUGGCGGCGUGCCUAAUACAUGCAAGUAGAACGCUGAAGCUUGGUGCUUGCACCGAGCGGAUGAGUUGCGAACGGGUGAGUAACGCGUAGGUAACCUGCCUCUUAGCGGGGGAUAACUAUUGGAAACGAUAGCUAAUACCGCAUAAAAGUCGACAUCGCAUGAUGUUGACUUGAAAGGUGCAAUUGCAUCACUAAGAGAUGGACCUGCGUUGUAUUAGCUAGUUGGUGAGGUAACGGCUCACCAAGGCGACGAUACAUAGCCGACCUGAGAGGGUGAUCGGCCACACUGGGACUGAGACACGGCCCAGACUCCUACGGGAGGCAGCAGUAGGGAAUCUUCGGCAAUGGGGGCAACCCUGACCGAGCAACGCCGCGUGAGUGAAGAAGGUUUUCGGAUCGUAAAGCUCUGUUGUAAGAGAAGAACGAGUGUGAGAGUGGAAAGUUCACACUGUGACGGUAACUUACCAGAAAGGGACGGCUAACUACGUGCCAGCAGCCGCGGUAAUACGUAGGUCCCGAGCGUUAUCCGGAUUUAUUGGGCGUAAAGCGAGCGCAGGCGAUUAGAUAAGUCUGAAGUUAAAAGCUGUGGCUUAACCAUAGUACGCUUUGGAAACUGUUUAACUUGAGUGCAGAAGGGGAGAGUGGAAUUCCAUGUGUAGCGGUGAAAUGCGUAGAUAUAUGGAGGAACACCGGUGGCGAAAGCGGCUCUCUGGUCUGUAACUGACGCUGAGGCUCGAAAGCGUGGGGAGCAAACAGG
rnacentral:rRNA from 1 species